GGUCACCUCUGUUUUUGGUGAUACAGUCUCUUCUAGAAACAGUGUCAUAUAAACAGGAACAAAGAUCAAGAGACCUAUUGAAACCUGGAAAAUGUAGCCCACGGGAAGAAAACGUGCGAGGACAUUCCCGAGAACAUGGGAUGCAGAAAAAAGGCCAGUAAUCCAACUAAAAACUGCAGCUCUACUACUCACGUCAACUACAUCUGCCGCAUAAGCAACAGAGAUACAGAAAAUGCUCCCUUGACUUAUG
rnacentral:misc_RNA from 1 species